GGGGGAGGCAAGCGUUGUUCGGAAUUAUUGGGCGUAAAGAGCGCGUAGGUGGCUUUUCAAGUCAUAUGUGAAAACCUCAGGCUUAACUUGAGGAUUGCAUGUGAAACUGGAAAACUUGAGUGCAGUAGAGGAAAGCGGAAUUCCUGGUGUAGCGGUGAAAUGCGCAGAUAUCAGGAAGAACACCAGUGGCGAAGGCGGCUCUCUGGGCUGCUACUGACGCUGAGGCGCGAAAGCUAGGGGGGAGCGAACAGGAUUAGAUACCCUGGUAGUCCUAGCUGUAAACGAUGGACACUAGGUGUGGGAAGUUAUCGACGCUUUCCGUGCCGAAGCUAACGCAUUAAGUGUCCCCGCCUGGGAGUACGGCCGCAAGGCUA
rnacentral:rRNA from 1 species